ensembl:snRNA U6 U6 spliceosomal RNA
GUGCUCGCUUCGGCAGCACAUAUACUAAAAUUGGGACAAUACAGAGAAGAUUAGCAUGGCCCUUGCACAAGGAUGACACGCAAAUCGUGAAGUGUUCCAUAUUUUU